rnacentral:lncRNA from 1 species
UCUUCUUCUUCUUCUUGUGCCUGCCUGGUGACCCACGCGCGGCCGGCCACCGGACUGACAGUGACAGCGACAGUAACUCGGCUCUCCGCGGCCAUGCAAAUCAUCAUCACGCAUCUGUGACACGUUCCGAACACCGUGCGUGGACGGAAUCAACGAUCGCGUCGUGACGUCCGUCGCCGCCGCCGCCGCCGGCGCUGGGCAACGGUUUAAAGGACCGUUUUUAUUCCACGCGCUCGCCGAGUGAUUUUUCUCUAUGCUCCGGACUCUCACAGCUCGCGACGGACGCGGCGCGGAUGCUCGUCCGCGAGACGCCGCGGCUCACGUUUCUAGGUCAGGCAUCGACGUCGCGCGUCGCGUGCUCCCGACGCGCGACUCAUGACGACGUCACGGUGCCGCGGCGCUACCGCCUGCGCGCCGCGCUCCCGACACCUGUGCGUCCGCGGCGCUUCGAAGGGUCCCCGAGAAGCGCGCCAAGUGCGGCUUCGCUUCCUGUGCGCGUGCCUGGCUCUCGGCGAGCUCGCGUGGAGCGCGGACAGGCCGUCGGAAAGGCGCCUCGCGCACUUGGACGGCGCGUUCACGUGAAGCGCGCGGCCCCGCCGUCGCCGGCAGACGCCUUAGUUUGCGCGAGUUGUGACGUCAGCGAAGUUGAGAGGGACUCGACCACCUCCGCAGCAGGAUCCGUUCGAGGUCCCGGCCCGGUCCGGGGAGAGGAAGGCUUCCAGGCAACGGUUUCCUUCCCCCACGCUGGCCUCUUGUUCCGGUCCUGCCAUCACCAUGGCGCCACAAAGCUGUCGAUUCCCAUCACCGCGCUUCACUCCGCUUUGCCAAGUGUGACCUGGCCAUCCAGCGCUUCUCAUCGCUGA